UGCCGCAAACCGUGCGCCCUCGUUCCAAACGUCCACCGGCCAGAGCCGGGCUGGCUAGAAGAGCGGAGCCCAGGGCUCCAGCUUGGAAGCCACAAACCCACAAGCAGGGCCACCUGCUGAGAUCCCUGCUGGCCCCAUAAGCUUGCUGGGAGCGAGGAGGCGCUUGGUCUCCUCUCCCUUCUUCCCUGGUUCUGCGAGUCCCAACAGGGCACACGAUGCCGCCGUCGUUGUUGGCUAACAGGGUCUCCCUCCGGGAGCUAGCCGACCUGGCAAUUGGCACCCCAGAGGUGGGCGCAGUGAACUUUACGGCCCUGCACACUCUGAUCGUGGCCAUUCUCAAGAGCCUCAACCUCCAAGAGGUACUUAUCGACUUCCACUACCCAUCGACUGAGUCGGGCCGUUCAGUCGAGUUGAGCCACAGCGCCCCGCAUGUGUCAACCAGCAAAGAGAAGCGCCGGAGUCUGCCUAAGCUGACACAAACUCCGCAAGAGCUGGAAUGUCAGGUGAAGGACUUGGGUAGCCAGGUACUGGACCUCACCAAACAGCUUAAAACUAUGGACGACAAAAUGCAGGGCAUGGCCACACAAAUAGAUCACAUCUCCAUAAUCCCCGAGCUCCAGCGGGAGUUGUCUAGGUCAGGAGAGGAGAUGGCUGUGAUGACUCAGCAGAUGUCCAUGACAAAGUUCUCCAAGAUCUACGAAUCUCAGGAGAUGAUGGAGAAACCUGAGCCCACAGCCGAGACGAUCACCCAGGGAGUACAAGCAAAGCUCUCAGGGACUCUCAGCCUGACCAAGAUCACCGAUGUGCUCCAAGACCUCACAGAAGACGUGAAAAUUCUGAAGCAAGCACCUGAGCUGCAGGUGAGGACACCCUAGGGACCAAACCUCAUGAGUGGGUUGUUCCUUCGCCUCUGCUCUCUUGCCUCUUUU
rnacentral:lncRNA from 1 species